GAGAAAAAGUUGAAGCGAGAGAGAUGAAGACAGAAGUUUGCUGAAUAAACUGCUGUUAGAAGGACUGGUGGUUGUGUCGUUCUUGCUGGUCGAGAGUGGACUCGACAAUUGGUGGCCAGUAUGGGGAACCAACUCCCCCAAAAGAGUCCAGCAUGGCUGUCCUCUAAGACACUCCACCCACCAGCUGACUUAGACAGAUGCAGACACCCACAGCCAAACAGUGGAUGGACCUUGGGAACUCUUAUGGAAGAAUAGGAGGAGCAAUUGGUGCCCCAAAGGGGAAAGGAACUCCACAGAAAGAUCAACAGAAUCAACUACCCUGGACCCUUGAUAUUCUUAGAGUCUGAACUACCAAAGAACAUUCAUGGACUGGACCUAGGCCUCCCCACACAUAUGUAGCAGAAGUACAGCUUGGUCUUUAUGUGGAUCCCAAAUUACUGGAGUGGGGGCUAUCAAAGCUGUUGUCUGUCUCUGGAAUAUGUUCUUCUAGCUGGGCUGCCUUGUCUGGACUCAGUGGGAGAGGAUGUGCCUAGCCUUAUAGAGACUUGAUGUGCCAGGGUGUGUGAUACCCAGGGGGACCUCCAUCCACUCAGAGGAGAAGGGGGAAGGGGUGAGAG
rnacentral:lncRNA from 1 species